AAAAGCAUGUAUACCCUCAGAAAUGCUUCCCCGGUCCGAUCAAGUCCCACAGAUAUUAUGUUUUUCGUUCCUUUUCCCUCUGUGGGUGGAACAUCUGCUGUGAUGAAUGGACUCCAACACUUAGAACUACUCCCAUAGUUUCUAUACUAAGCUUAGCCUAAAUGGAGAACGUAUUUAGGAAAACACGAUACAAGCGUUUCAGCAAGGAGCUUAAAAAAUCCUUGGUUUCAGUGUGAUCAACAUUUGGAAUUUCCGCCAAAGAACCCUGCGGUGCUGCCAACCAGUGAGUCAGUGACGGUCCGGAAACUAGCCUGCCCAUUCUCCGCUGGUCGGCUUUGGGGUGCUUUACCUACAGGCUGCCUGUUUAUGAGAAAUGAAGAGACAACAAGUACAGAAGAGGUAGUACAAGGCUGGUGACUUUGCUGUUCUUACUGGGAUGGUGAACGACUGUGGCGACACGAGACCAGGUUUUGGCGCGGGUUAUGUCUGACCAGACAAUCCAGCCCGUCAGAACCUCCGCCUGGUGUGGUAUGCGCCAGACACUAAAACCAGCAUUUUGCAAGGGAAAAAAUUACAAGCCACAAGAUCAGCCGGCCGUUCAGGGAUUUAGUCACCAUUGUGACGUUAAGAGAGGACAUGAUAUGGUAACCUGAUGCGUGGGAGAAGACAAAAAAAGAAACCGCAGAAUUUAUUAUAAACUGUCACCUCACCAGAAUCCGUAGGACUGCUUCAUCGUUCCCGCCUGUGUACAACCAUAUCUACGUAUACUGUGGACGUGUUGGUGAUGUAACAUUAAGUAUACCCUUGCAAAAAACUUACAGUUAAACCUGCAGCUGUCCUGAAAUUGAAUAUAAUGAUGUUAUACCUUUAGUGGCCACUUUUUGAAUUAUGAAUCGUCAUGUUGUGAGCAAAUUGCUAUGGAAAUAUGCGUACGGCGUUUUUUUUUUGCCAUCACGGCAGCUUUUUCUUUCUUGUGAGGUCAAAGUGCAGGCCGUAGGUUGUAUAUUUUAGAGAGAAUGGAUUGCACCGGACUUUAGUAAAUCCGUUUGGUAUCACUAAGCUUUGUUAUCUCUACAUGAAGUCUGUAUUAAAUAAGGAUUGGCAUAAAAUGCAAUGCGUUUUCACUUUGAGUGAUGCUGAAUCAUUUCACUUACUAGCAAUACAUCAAGGUUAGGUUUAUAUAUUAACUCUAUAACCACUCCCUAUCUCGAGCCAAGUG